rnacentral:rRNA from 1 species
UCCAGACUCCUACGGGAGGCAGCAGUCGAGAAUCAUUCACAAUGGGGGAAACCCUGAUGCAGCGACGCCGCGUGAGUGAAGAAGUAUUUCGGUAUGUAGAGCUCUAUCAGCAGGAACGAGACAAGACGGUACCUGACUAAGAAGCCCCGGCUAACUACGUGCCAGCAGCAGCGGUAAUACGUAGGGGGCAAGCGUUAUCCGGAAUCACUGGGUGUAAAGGGAGCGUAGACGGCUGUGCAAGCCUGAAGUGAAAGGCGGGGGCCCAACCCCUGGACUGCUUUGGGAACUGUACGGCUGGAGUGCAGGAGAGGUAAGUGGAAUUCCUAGUGUAGCGGUGAAAUGCGUAGAUAUUAGGAGGAACACCAGUGGCGAGGGCGGCUUACUGGACUGUAACUGACGUUGAGGCUCGAAAGCGUGGGGAGCAAACAGGAUUAGAUACCCGGGUAA